UCUCCACCAACAACAGAUUCUUCACGUCCCCAUUUCUCUCAUUCCUUUUUUUCAUCCAUGCCAUAUUGUAACACAUGUCUUUUCUGCACACUUUGUGCUCACUCGUAUGCACCCGGGAAGAAUUUCCCGGUCGGUCACCCAUCCCAAAUUGCUCCAGGCCAAGCACGCUUCCCAUCCCAAAUUGCUCCAGGCCAAGCACGCUUAACCCUGGAGUUUUUUGGAGAUUGGCUUCCGGAAAAAAAGUUGCAACUUAUUGAUAUGAGUAUUCUAUUAAUCCUAUUAAGCCCUAGGCCGGGAUGUUACACCCUCACCCCCUUAAGAGAGAUCGACGCCCCCGUCGAUCAACCCUAGGCCAGGAACGUCCUCUCUUGGCCACGUCCAUGUGUCCAGUGCCAGCGCCCGUGAAACCGCGAGAGUCGGCUCUGAUACCUUUGAUACCAUUUUGUAACGUCCCGCCUCCCCCAGGCCGGGCCCACUUACAUCUGGUAGCUUUCAUAGAUCAUAGACUGCCCUCACAGACCAACACAUGUCUUUUCUGCACACUUUGUCCUCACUCGUAUGCACCCGGGACCCGGGAAGAAUUUCCCGGUCGGUCACCCAUCCCAAAUUGCUCCAGACCAAGCACGUUUAACCCUGGAGUUCUUUGGAGAUUGGCUUCCGGAAAAGAAGUUGCAACUUGUUGAUAUGAGUAUUCUAUUAAUCCUAUUAAGCCCUAGGCCGGGAUGUUACACAUAUACAUCGAUUUCCUAAUUUUGAUUUUCCUUUCUCCAUUUUUGCGAUUUCUAGGUUUCGUUGAAUCCCUAACCUGUGGAUGCGACUCCUCAUAUCUCAUCCAAAAUUGAAAUCGAAGUAAUCUAAAACUCCCCAUUUUUGUGUGUAUUUGUUCAUUCACAUGGGGUGUUUGCAACAGAGGCGAGGAUGUGUGUGUAUAUAUGCUAAAUCAUAUGAUACUUGCAGCAAAAUGUUAAAAUCAUUUGGAUUUUUGCUUUGAAAUGAUGUGAUUCUUUGGUUCAACUGAUCUAAUAUUCAUCAUUAAAAUGAUAUUUUCUUUAUUCUUUCACCUUUUCAAUAAUCUCUUGUUACAUCUCCAAUUAACAAAAUCAGUUGAUUUAGCCAAUGAAACCUGCAGGAAACCACUGUACAUCUCCUAAAGUAUCACCUAUGAAACCUGAUGAUACCGGACAUGAUACUAAAGAGGAUCAUGAUACCUCCCCGAUUUCAUAAGAUCCUACUCAAGUAUCAUCUGUGAAAUCCACAGGAAACUACUGUACCAGACAUGAUACUAGACAUGAUCAUGUGAUACUUCACAAGUAUCACAUAUAAUGAUACUUUGAGGAUCAUAUAUCAUGAUACCUGGGUAGGAUCAUGUGAUACUUCACAGGUAUCACACGAAUCUACUAAAGUAUCAUCUGUGAAACUCAUAGGGAUCAUGUUACCAGACAUGAUACCUAAGCAGGAUAAUGCGAUACUACACAGGUAUCACACAUAAUGAUACUUUGAGGAGGAUGAUCCUCCUAGGGUAUCAUCUCUGAAACCUUAUGAUACCAGACAUGAUACAGAGGAGGAUCAUGAUACCUCCCAGGUAUCACAUGAUCCUCCCAAAGUAUCACCUAUGAAACCUGAUGAUACCGGACAUGAUAUUAAGGAGGAUUAUGAUACCUCCCAGGUUUCACAAGAUCCUACUCAAGUAUCAUCUGUGAAACCCACAGGAAACCACUGUACUAGAUAUGAUACUGGAUAAGAUCAUGUGAUACUUCACAAGUAUCACACAUAAUGAUACUUUGAGGAUCAUGUAUCAUAAUACCUGGGUAGGAUCAUGUGAUACUUCACAGGUAUCACACGAACCUACUAAAGUAUCAUCUGUGAAACCCACAAGGAUCAUGUUACCAGACAUGUUACCUAAGUAAGAUCAUGCGAUACUACACAGAUAUC
rnacentral:lncRNA from 1 species